CGGCGACUCCGCGAGCGUAGUCCCAUUGUUGGAUCUCGCUGAUUCGACACUUGGAGGCGCCUGUGGGGGUGUCCGUCUUCUUGGUGUCCCAGGCCUCAUGACCCCUCUCUGAGGAGUCCCUACUCCAGCCACAUCGAAACCAGGACUUACAACUCCAAACCAUCUUAUGUCUGAUGCUCCCUUCUGAGCAGAUAGAAGAGCUGGUAAGGGUGGGGAAGGGGGUGCUAGGUAGCUUUAAGAGCUGGUUUGACCCUGCACACCUCCAAUUAGCCUGGACUGGUCCUUGAUGUCCUGAGGGAGGGACCCAGGGGAGAGGCCCUAAGGGUCCUGGGGGCCUCCCAUUCCUGUCCAGCCACAUUUCCCACCAGAAGCCUGGGCCCAGGGUGUAGCGGGUAUGGGCACAGCCAGGCCAGUACAUGCAGUUGGCAUUUGGGGACAUAGUACACAGAGGCACAGUGGGCCUCAGAAAGGAGUGUGGGGCUGAUAGAACUGGACAUCAAGACCCUACCUUCUUGGCACUGGGUCUGCCCUUCUCCCUGGUGUCUGGUUCUGCAGUUCAAGACCUCCUGCCACACCUCCCGGUAACCCUCCUAGCACAGAAGUAGCUCUCUUCGGGGCCGCCCUGGCUACAGCUGCUUAGGACAGGAGAUUGGCAUAGUUGUGGGUUGCAGUGGUGACAAGAGGUUUGGUUAAGAGGACCCCCCUGCCUGAACACCCUUUCUCACUGGGACCCCCACCCCCUCAUCCUGCUGGGACCUUCUACCAUGGAGCCCACCAUCACCAAAAGACCAGAGCCCAGCAGCUACCUGAGGCCUUGGUUUGGCUCCAGGACAUCUGACAUCACAAUGACCAGCCAAUUAGCUGCUGCCAGUGGUCCAGGAGAUGGAUCCAAGGUCUGGCACACCUGCUGCCCAACUUUGGCUUAAGUUGCAUGGAGGACAGGAAAAGACCUGUAUCAAGGGUCACGUAGUUCUUAGGGGAUGCUGGGACACUAGGCCAGCACAGACCCAAAAGGAACCUAAGGUUAUAUGUGUGGAGGUCCUCUUUGGGUGACCUCAGGGCCCGUGAGGUGGGGGCAGUGGCAAGGAGAAUAUUCCUGGGCUAGGGUGGAGGACACAGAACGUGUCAGGAUUCUGAGGGCUGGGAUGGGGUCUGGCUGCCUGCCCCUACUUAAGAACGACAGCAGCACUGUGUACAAUUAACAAAAAGAUUUGUAUUAGAACAUUUACACUCAGGGAAGAAAGAGGUAUCUGCAUCAUCAAAUGUGGAAUGUUGAAGAAAUAGUUAAAAUAAAUAAAAGACUCCGAACGCGAUUGGGGCUGGCUCAGGCUGGGACUCACAGAGGCCUCUGCACAUCAGCUCCAGGCUGCAGGGGCCAACGCCUGGCCAUACUGGCCUCCUCCCCGACGCAGCACAGCUGUGCCUGGGACACAGAGAGUCUCUCAGGUGCUGGUGCAGCCAGCAAACUCACUCCCCACUUUCCUCGCUUAUCUCUGUGACAAUGUCUAUGAGGCUCUGGAGCCCGAAGAUAUAGCCAGCAUCCUGGCCCUCAUGUACCACGCUGUCCUCGCCAUACAGCCUGCAGGUGGUGUGUGCAAAGUCGAUCAUGCGCACGUCCACUGAGCUGGUGCCGAUGGGCUUGUAGGCAUAGGCACCUGCAGACUCAUCAGCUGACUCCUCAGACAGGUCCUCCAAGUCCUCAGCAUCUGAGUCCAGGGCCACCUCAGGCCAUUCUUUGCCAUCAUAGAUGACCAAUAGGGAGCUUGAGUAGAAGCGGUAGGACUCCUGUCGCUCCAAAAUGGCUUUGAGCUCAGCCAGCUUCUUAAGCACAGGGCCCAGGAGUUCACGGCGCAGAUACCGACCAUUGUGGAAAAAUUGGAAAAGUGCCUCCUUGAAGCCCUGCACUGACAGCUUUCGUCCGUGGUACUUGUUCAUGAACAUAAGCUGCCCACUCCCUGCCUGGUACACCUGUGGGAAGAGACCAGCAGGUUAGGUGCUGACAGCUGUCUCAGAGCCUGGACCCUGGGGAACAGCAGCAAUGGGACACCCCUGGAUCAGAUCCUUUAACCUGUUAAGUACACCAGUCAUACAAGGCAAUACCCUUUCUGAUCUACCACCACUCAGGAUGCAGCCCUCUGACCUGGUUCUGUCCUCAGACCCCUGCUUAGCAUAUCAGUUGGUGGAGAAGGCCUAACCAUCUUGCCUUCAUUCCCACUCCUGUCCAGAGACUCUGGACUCAGUCAACCAGCUCAGCCCCAGACAGUUCACCGAGGCAUGCGUGCUUUUUUUUUCUAACCAGAAAGCAACAGACGCACUCAGCCAUGCUGAAAUCUUGAGAAAACAGCAGGACUAUGCCCACGGUGGAGAGUAGAAGCUACUGGAUGCCCUAGCCAGCCCGUGGUAUGCACCAGCACUCCCCUCACCUGCAUGCCACACACACGGACACCGAUGACAGCAGAUGUGCUCUGCUGGCACUUGCGGAUCUGGUUGGCUGCCUUCUCCUCUGAAGCAUCAUCACCAUGCUGGCGGGUACCCAUCUUGAGGUCCAGGACACAAGGCACCUCAUAGCGGGAAGUCAGAUUUUCCAGUAAGAUGAAUUCUGAGUGGUUAAGGACAAUCCUCCCUCUAAAGAAAAGGUGCUGCUGCAUGGGGGCUUUGGCACUCCAGGACACAAUGCCUGCACACAGUGCCUCAGAAAAGCCCAGGUCCACAGAAGGCCCCAUCAGUCCUGCUAUCCCCCAUGUAGGGAGCCCAAGGCUGACUAGAGGGCUAAAAUCAAAGAACUGAAUUCUUGUCAGGGAACUGGCAUGAGGACCGCCUGUACCCGCACUCAACAUAGGCCUGGGCGACACACAUACGGCACUGCCACAACUCAACAAGGUAUGGGAACAGGGUUUCACACUGUCCUAAGUUUCAAACAGAACAUCAAAUAAAUAAAUCCCAUAACCUUC